GCGAUGGCAGACCAGAUUGGCAACAACAGUGGCUUUAACAUUGCUAACAACUCAGGACAGAUUGGUUCUGGGAAUAACUUCUCAGUCCAAGGAGAUGGUGGUUGUGGUUCCUCUGUGGGCAACAACUCUGACCUUUGUGCUUCUGGAAACAACUCAGGAUCCAUCGGUUCAGGGAACUGUGAUACUGUCGGUGGAGGAAGAGGACACCAGACAAGUAUUGGAAACGCCACUAAUCUGGAU